rnacentral:rRNA from 1 species
CCUACGGGGGGCAGCAGUGGGGGAUAUUGCACAAUGGGGGAAACCCUGAUGCAGCGACGCCGCGUGUGGGAAGACGGUCCUCUGGAUUGUAAACCACUGUCCCCAGGGACGAAGAUGACGGUACCUGGGGAGGAAGCUCCGGCUAACUACGUGCCAGCAGCCGCGGUAAUACGUAGGGAGCGAGCGUUGUCCGGAAUUACUGGGUGUAAAGGGAGCGUAGGCGGGGAUGCAAGUUGGGUGUCAAAACUACCGGCUCAACUGGUAGGCGCCCUCGAAACUGCAGCGCUUGAGUGAAGUAGAGGCAGGCGGAAUGCCUGGUGUAGCGGUGAAAUGCGUAGAUAUUAGGAGGAACACCGGUGGCGAAGGCAGCCUGCGGGGCUUUUACUGACGCUGAGGCUCGAAAGUGUGGGGAGCAAACAGGAUUAGAUACCCGGGUAGUC